GCGAAGCAUCUGCCAAGGAUGUUUUCAUUAAUCAAGAACGAAAGUUAGGGGAUCGAAGACGAUCAGAUACCGUCGUAGUCUUAACCAUAAACGAUGCCGACCAGCGAUUAGGAGACGUUGAAUACAAAACACCACCAUCGGCGCGGUCGUCCUUGGCGUUCGUGUUCACGCACGAGCGCGAGGGCGGCUUAGCCCGAUGGCACCGGUGAAUGACUCCCCU
rnacentral:rRNA from 1 species